CUUGGAGAAAGGAAAAGAGCUUAGGGGUCUUGAAGAGAACAGGAGGAAGUGGUGUGGCUUCCCAAGGUUUUUGAUGGGUGUUGGCAGGGCAUGUUGGCUUUGUCCAUGAGACCCAGGGAAGUCCCAGGGCUUCUGUCCAGGCAAAGCAUAGACCAUGGUGCUCUGCAGCUAUCUUGGUCUGAAUGUCAUGGCUCUUAUCCUGAAAAUAUGUCCGACCUAUACACGUAGUACCAGAGCCACAUGGCUGAUCUGUGCCUAGCACCAAGGAGGCUUUGGACCACGAGGGUGUGGUGGUUGCUAUGCAAGACCACUGAUUCUCCACAGUUGCCAUGGAAGCUUUCUCAGUCCUGUACAACCCAAAAGAAGGAGAAGGACCAUUAUGAGCCUCAGGGGAAGAAAGAAUUAGAUCAGGGUGAACGUGGGAAUUGA
rnacentral:lncRNA from 1 species